UCUCUCUCUCUCUCACAUUGAGACAAAAAUCCACCCAUCUAAUGUCUGUAAUUCAGUGGUUUUAGUGUACUCAGUGUAACUAUCACUCUGUCUUGUUUUAUAUAAAAAAGAAACUGUAUAAUGUUAGGACUCUUUUCUUAUCCCCCUCUCCAACCCAGACAGCCACUGGUUUAUUUACUGUCACUGUGUCCUCUUGGAUAUCUUGUUGUUGCUGCAGUCAUGGGGAUCCUACAGCUGUGGUUCUGUAAGACCUGCCCCUUCAUGUGCCCUAGCUGCUCAUUGAAUGGGGUAGGUGUUGGGGUGGGCCAACUCAAGGCCCUGGAUUUGGGCUUGGGUGGUAGCUGAGCUGGCUAGCCCAAGUCUCUGCUGAGCCUUCCUCCCCGAAAGAAGCUCCCCCACAGUCCCACCAUUGUCUACACUGAUGCUGUGACCAGCUGUCCCAUGCAGUGGCCUGUGAAGGGUAGGACAUCAACAUGGCUUCAGGCACGAGCCCAGACCACAGACAUCUGAAUGUCCUAGGUGGUAACUUGAGCCUCAGAUCCAGACAUAACCCCUAGCCACAGCAUGGGCUGGACAUCACCAUGAACUCAGGUUACAGUGCAGGCCACUCAGAUAAGUAUGAUACCUGGUGACAGUACUGCCUUGGAUAUCACCAUGGCCUCAGGUGGCAGCUCAGACCACAGACAUCCACAUGGCCUUUGGUGUUAACAUCGGUCACGGACAUCAACACAGACCCUAGCUGCAAUAGGACCAUGGACCCAGACAUGGCCCUGGUGCAGAUACCACCUCAGGUGGCCUCAGGUGGCAGCCUAGACACUGGACAUCAGAAUGGACCUCAGCAGCAGCCUGGCGGAACAUUACCAUGGCCUCAGGUGGCUGCACAGGCUCCUCACAUCUGUCUGCUGUCCUUUGUCUCCCACCCCAUCCCCCCACUCUGUCUUUCCCAUCUCUCCAUUUCGUAUUUGUUCAUUGUAGUGGUGCCUGCUAGCCAUUCCGUGCUGCAGGGCAGGGGCUGGGUGUCUUCUGUUUUGUUUUUUCAAUAAAGCCAUCUUAGUGGGUGUGCCAUGGUUCGUCAUGGUUUUGAUUUUCAGUUCCCCAACAACUAACUGACAUCAGACAUUUUAGGGGCUUGUUGACUGGGUGUCUUCUCUGAAGAAAUCCACUCAAAGCUUUUUAAAAUUGGAUUAUAUUUCUUUGUUAUUUAAUUGUUAAAGAUCUUUAUUCUGGAUACAAAUACUAACAGAUACAUGAUUCACAAAUAAUUCCAUUUUGUGGUUUGUGCUUUAUCUUUGAUGGUAUUAUUUGAAAGGCAGACAUUUAAAAAUAGUUAUUUAUUUUAUGUGUGUGGUGUAUGUGUGUGUGUACACAUGAAUACAUGCAGGGCUACUUGUAAUUCAAGAAAAGCAGCGCAUGAGAGAAAGACACCACAUGACAGGGUUCAAGCAGAAGGGUUUUUUAUUAAUGAGGGAAAGGGAUCAUGAAAAGAGGAAAGGGAAGUGGGGAGACCAGUCUCGGAGACAGGAGAGCAGGAGAGAGGAGAAAGGAAAGAGGAGGAGAGAGGUGGCUGAGAGGUAGGCAGGGCCCCUUUUAAAAGGGGACAUAGUGAAUGUGCCCUCUUAGUGGCUGCAGCUGAGGGUGUAUCCUGUCAGAACCCCAAGGACAGGCCAGUACAGGUGCCUGGACACUAACACUGCUUGCCUGUGCACAUGGAUGUAGAGGCCAGAGGGGAAGUUUAGAUUUUAUGUUUCCAGCUUGUUCCUGCCUGCUGACAUCUCCUGAAGAUCUUGCAUGCUUUCCUGACUUCCUGGGUAUCAUUUCUCUGACUUGGAUUUACUUUGGGCAACAUGGUUGGAAUGUAUCUGGCUCAGAACUAUGACAUGCCAAACCUGACUAAAAAGCUUGACGAUAUUAAAAAGGACCUGGAAGCCAAGAAGAAACCUCCUAGUUCCUGAUGCCUGCCUGGCACUGCUCUCUGGACUCAUCAGUUUCCUCCUGAGGGGCCUGCCUCCUUCAUAGCCACAACCCAAAGCUGUGUUCCUCUUCAGCCUCACACCCUGCCUGCUGCCUCAAAGCCAACAUGGGGCCAGAAGUCAAAGGUUUACCUUACGUUCUGGCAGCUGCCCUUCCUCCUAUAACUUCCAUCCAGCUACUUAUGAGUCCUGAGCCUGGAACUAUGGUGCUAGGUUAGCAAAUACAAUCUUUAUUAGAAUUUACUCACCCGUCUCCUGGGAGUUCUACCAUCUCUUGUCAAGAGAAAACAAAACAUGGAUUUGGAUAGCUGAUUUCACUGUCUAGCAGUUAAAAGAGCUAAUUGUUAGAUGUUUGUUAACUAAAUUUUUGUUGCCAAAUUAAUUAAAGUCAGUACUUUCAAGCCAGAUUCUAGUGAAUUAUCCAUUUAUUUUGUUAUCAUUGAGCUCCAUGAUUGAUAAUUUAACCAAUAAAUCAUUUGCUGGAUUAACCAAGAAACUGAAUUCUGUAAGAACUGGGAAAUUUUAAAACAUGCAAAAUAAUUGUU